UGCCGCGUGCAGGAUGACGGCCCUACGGGUUGUAACCUGCUUUUAUACGGGAAGAAACACUCCGACGUGUCGGAGCUUGACGGUACUGUAAGACUAAGGAUCGGCUAACUCCGUGCCAGCAGCCGCGGUAAUACGGAGGAUCCAAGCGUUAUCCGGAAUCAUUGGGUUUAAAGGGUCCGCAGGCGGUUUUUUAAGUCAGAGGUGAAAUCCUACAGCUCAACUGUAGAACUGCCUUUGAUACUGGAAAACUUGAGUUAUUGUGA
rnacentral:rRNA from 1 species